AUAGCAAGACACAACUGUAAGGUGCGGUCGAUAUGCCACCACGUCGGCCCCUUCACGCACGACCGCAAGGGUCGGGGCCUUUUUCCGAGCAAUGCAUAGUGUUUCCUUUAUUGUUGUUGUUUGUGCUGUCCUAGAUAUUCCUUUGCCAUAUGAUUUUUGAUCAUUUUCUCGCUCAUUCCUAGAGGAGCGCUAUAAAUAAUAUGAUUGAGAUGGCUAAGAUACAUGCUUUUUUGUUUACUUGGCAUCUGCUUUUAAUUUUUCUGCAAUCCUUCGUUUACAUGCUGGUAUGUUUUGUUGCCAGGCUCAGAUCAGCGAGACCCGUGCCAAUGCAUGAGGUACAAUAUUUUUCUUAUUUAUUCCUUUCAUACAUAUUGAGUUCAUUCACCCUAUUAUAUAUACUGAUUAAACAGUACAGGAUGGGCCUAGAAUUAGAUGCUAUUGGUACUUGCUCACGCUCAUUUCUCAUGUUUAUGUUCAGGCCUAACCUCACAAAACUUUGGUAUGCACUCACGUAUAAUCAGGGCUUGCUUAUUUAAAUUCUUGAAUUCAUUUUAUAUAUAUUAUAUCAUUAUUAUUUGUUAUCAGUUUUUUGUUUACGAUUUCCAAUUGGGUAAUAUCCCAUCAUACUACUAGGCAUUGGCCAGGUACUGGACUUUGGCUGGUUGUCAAUAUAAGCUUUGUGUUCUCCUUUGUUUUUACCUCAUUUAUAAAGUCCUUGAUUGAGCAAGCAUUUGAUUUCUAUGCCAACAUAGAUCUUAUUGCUCAUCAAAGGUAUCUAAAAGUUGUGUGCUCUGCAAUAGAUGGGUUGUGUUAGUCAAUAGAAAUACCUAAUAUGUCAGUUUUGUUGCCAAAUAUUUUAAACACAGAUAUAUACAGAGUUCUAGAACAGAAGAUGAUCUGGUGGUUACCUUUCUGUUAUUUACUCGAAUGACUGUACGUAUAUCUUACCUUCAGACUUUAUCCGAUCUUAGUUAGUUUUCCAUCUCCAAUCAGAUUAAUGGUUUGCAUGCAGACCAAGCCCAGUGUUCUAUGGUGUUCUUAUUCCUGAUUUAGUUGUACAUUUGACUUUUAGUUUCUUCAUAGAUAAUAAAGUAGUGGCAGAUGACCCAGUAAGUUAUUUGUGCCCAUGCUUUGCUGUAAGCAUUAAAUUUGCUCUCUGCUUUUACUUUCGAUGUGUUAUCCGUACCCCUGCUUUUUGUGGCUAAUUAUUAUCUCCUAUCAACAUAUGCAGAGUCCAUGGUAUCAUACGAUUUGAAGUUGAAAAAUUCAUGCUAUGGGUGAUACGGAAAAGGCAUUGCCUUCUUUGCUGGAACAUUUCCUAAGAUGAUCUAAGGUAAUUAUUUUAGUCACCAUGUCAUUUAUAUGCUAAAUUCAGUGCAUUGACAACUAGAGAUCGCUUCCUUUUUUGUGUAUUGAUCAUUUCAGUACGAUUGUUUGAUACACUGCCGACAUCAUUUUGCUUCUUCUUGCUUGGUAUUUCAUUUAUUUCCUCCAGCAAGUGGAUGGCUAUUUCCACUGCUUCAGGUUUCGUUUUGGCUCUAAUUGUGUGUAUGGCAUCUUGGCCUUCUUAGGUGAAGCAGUUAUGAAUAUCCUCGCUGAUCUAUGGAUCUAUCAUUGUAAGAGUCGAUGAUAUAUGGUGAGCUGCCUCACACCAUCAUUUGGUCUUCGUAGCAUUUGAGUUGGCAAAUUUGUUGGAUUCAUGCGAUUAGGCAUGGUAAGUGCUCAGAGACUCAUAGCUCUAUAACUGUUUGCUUCCAAAAGUUUUGAAUCUUUUCUGCGCUUGGUCCUCUCAUUGGUGAGAGUAGCCAUGUAAAUCAAUCUGCUAUGGGAAAUGGGAGUUUGCAAACUACCGGAGUCUAAUUGCUGAGGGACGAGGUUCGUAACUGAGGGUCAUGUGCAGAGCUGGAGGAAGAAGUUGCGAGGCUUGGAACUCUCCUUGUGAAGGGCUCAGGGACAGCAGUGAGGACAAUACCUCUUUAGUUGUAAUUGUGAUACUCCUGAUGUGCAAGUAAUCGCUCCUGUGAUACUCCUUAUACUAAAAUGUUGGUUGUUAGUACAGAGGUGUUGACAUUAUUUGGUUCUCUGGUAUUGAUUUCAUGAUUUGUGGUUAAUACAUGAUCUAAUACAAUCCACAUUGCAGUAUAUUUCCAGUUACAUCUCC
rnacentral:lncRNA from 1 species